GAUGAACGCUGGCGGCGUGCCUAAUACAUGCAAGUCGAGCGAACGGACGAGAAGCUUGCCUCUCUGUUGUUAGAGGCGGAGAGGUGAGUAACACGUGGAUAACCUACCUAUAAGACUGGGAUAACUUCGGGAAACCGGAGCUAAUACCGGAUAAUAUUUUGAACCGCAUGGUUCAAAAGUGAAAGACGGGCUUGCUGUCACUUAUAGAGGGAUCCGCGCUGCAUUAGCUAGUUGGUAAGGUAACGCCUUACCACGGCAACGAUGCAUAGCCGACCUGAGAGGGUGAUCGGCCACACUGGAACUGAGACACGGUCCAGACUCCUACGGGAGGCAGCAGUAGGGAAUCUUCCGCAAUGGGCGAAAGCCUGACGGAGCAACGCCGCGUGAGUGAUGAAGGUCUUCGGAUCGUAAAACUCUGUUAUUAGGGAAGAACAUAUGUGUAAGUAACUGUGCACAUCUUGACGGUACCUAAUCAGAAAGCCACGGCUAACUACGUG
rnacentral:rRNA from 1 species